AUGUUUGGAUUGAAGUUUGGUCGGGUGCGAGUGCACGGGAUGAGGUGCGCCAACCCCAAAUCUGAUGCUAUCUCUUCUAAAUAUCCAAUCAACUUCCACCUACGUUUCACUUUGCCAUGCUAUUCCUCAAUUGCUUUGUCAUGCUCUUCUCAAAUCGCUAGUUUAGCCUUUCGAUUAUUCUCUGGUUCGCUCAAAAAAGUGAGGCAGAACAAUCUGUCAGAACAGGUUUACGUAAAGCUCCUGUGCAUUGAUGAACUCUCCUCUUGUUUUUCUUUGAUCUCUAAUUGUAGUUCAGCAUUUAUUUUCUCUCAAUCAUUACAACUUGUUAUUUUGAGAAGUGACUCUGUUCUGGAUGUUGGACAUAACUUCAGAUAA
rnacentral:rRNA from 1 species